AAGGAGCCGGUAUCAAGUACAGCUCGGGAGAGAGGAACCAGCUUGUGAGGAAAAUCUCUCGUGUGGCGCCCUCGAUGGCCUUAGCGAUCGCCUCGUAGUAGUCCUUGCAGUCGAUGUGCACCAUCGCACGUACGCCUGUCCGAGGAGGGAAAACAAGAGAGGGUAUCUAACCAUGAUUCAAAGGAGAUAUAUGUCAGUUAUUUAUAUUUAUGGUUAUGGGUUGGUGCUUACCUUUGCCCCCCUCCCUCGUUAUUGUUUUUCUUUUUUUUUUUUCUUUUUUUUUCUUUUUUUUUUUUUUGUCAUAAAAUAAAAAAUCUUGAUUACAAUGGAAUUAAAGAUACUUCCGACGAAGCUUCUGUCGGAACAGGUAUAACAAUGGGUGGUGGCACUUCACAUCCCUCUA
rnacentral:rRNA from 1 species